rnacentral:tRNA from 1 species
UGACCGAUAGUGUAAUGGCAACACAGAAGAUUUUGGUUCUUUUAUUCAAGGUUCGAGUCCUUGUCGGUCAA